GGAUUGUGGCUCAGCGGUAGAGCCCUUGCCUAGCACAUGCAAGGUCCUGGGUUUGAUCUUCAGCACCA
rnacentral:tRNA from 1 species